rnacentral:rRNA from 1 species
UACAGAGGGGGCGAGCGUUAUUCGGAAUUAUUGGGCGUAAAGGGCGCGUAGGCGGCCUUUCAAGUGACGGGUGAAAUCCCUCGGCUUAACCGAGGAACUGCCUGUCAGACUGGAAGGCUUGAGACCGGGAGAGGUGAGUGGAAUUCCCAGUGUAGCGGUGAAAUGCGUAGAUAUUGGGAGGAACACCGGUGGCGAAGGCGGCCCCCUGGACCGGUACUGACGCUGAGGCGCGAAAGCGUGGGGAGCAAACGGG